GACUGGUCGAAAGGGUCGUGAGUUACCUCAACUGACUGCCCACAGUGAGUGUUUAACUCCUUGUUCUACUCUUUCCCCUCUUCUCACUACUGCACUUGACUUAAA
ensembl:misc_RNA Y_RNA Y RNA